GCCUGGGUGGCUCAGUUGGUUGAGCAUCCGACUUCAGCUCAGGUCAUGAUCUCACGGUCUGUGAGUUCGAGCCUCACGUUGGGCU
rnacentral:tRNA from 1 species